rfam:Candidatus Yanofskybacteria bacterium RIFCSPHIGHO2_01_FTLL_48_25b rifcsphigho2_01_scaffold_747, whole genome shotgun sequence.
GCCCUCGUCGUUCAAUGGAUAGGACGGAUCUUUGCGGAAGAUCUGAUGCGGGUUCGAUUCCUGCCGAGGGCA